GGGACCUCGAGUACAGGCGGGAGAUACCCUAUACAAAGCAGGGAUCUACUUUUUCGGCCGUGCCACCCCGUGUCCGCAUCAGCGCGGUGCUGCCGGAGUUUCCCUGCGUGAGGGACAUGGUGCUGCCCAAGGAGGCCGACGCCGACAAGAUGGACACCUUCUUGACCAUGUACCGAACCCACUGCCAGCGAG